UGUUGCAGAGUAGCUGUUGAAAUAGUUGCGCAGGAACUUUGUUGACUUUAGAGAACCUCAGGCAAAUCGCACAUCCCUGUGGCAGCGACUUUGCAUGCGGAUGUCAUCCAUAUCAACUUUCGAUGCCAGUUUCUGCGCUUACCAUGGUUACCACGGGUAACGGGGAAUCAGGGUUCCAUUCCAUACAGGGACCCUGAGAAACUGCUACCACAUGCAAGGAAGGCAGCAGGCACGCAAAUGACCCACUCGCGACGCGGGAAGGUAGUGACGACA
rnacentral:rRNA from 1 species